GCCGUGAUAAAUACCUUGUGCGAUCCAAGGAUCUCCCUUUUUCUGGCCCCUUUCGAACCCAACCCGGAGGUAUAUCUUUGACCUUAUUCCUUGUUGCCGUGAUAAAUACCUUGAUACGAUCCAAAAAUCUCCCCUCCCCAAAAUCACUCGAUACUCGAUAGCGCAUAUUCUUGACGGCAAGGGCGAUGGGCAUCGUCGGGAAUCUCAGUUCCGAUCAACUCAACUUCUUCAAUUCCAAUGGGUAUCUGGUGCUCGAGUCCUUCUCCAGCCCGGAAGAGGUAAAAGAGAUGAGGGAUAGGAUGGCCGAGCUGCUCCAAGGGUUCGACAGCUCCAACACUUCGAUCUUCUCUACCAUCAACCAGCAAAAGUUGACGGACGAUUACUUCUUCGAGAGUGCGGAGAAGAUCUCCUUUUUCUUUGAGGAAAAGGCAUUUGGAGAUGAUGGAUGCUUGAAACAGCCAAAAGAAUUGUCUAUUAAUAAAGUCGGCCAUGCUCUGCAUGAACUUGAUCCUGUUUUCAAAAAAAAUUCUUCGUCAGAGAAAAUUUCUAGUAUGCUUUUCUCAUUGGGUUACAAGAGACCAGUGGUUAUUCAGUCGAUGUACAUAUUUAAGCAACCAGGCAUUGGUGGAGAAGUGGUACCUCACCAGGAUAACUCAUUUCUCUACACUGAACCUCGAUCAUGCACAGGGCUGUGGCUAGCACUAGAAGAUGCAAACAUCACCAAUGGUUGCCUCUGGGCCAUCCCUGGCUCCCAUAAGAAUGGCUUAGUGAGGAGGUUCAUUAGAGAUGAAAAUGGGGUACACUUUGAUCGUCCUUUUCCAUCCUUUGAUCGGAAGGAAUUUGUUCCGAUAGAAGUUAAAUCAGGCACUUUGGUGGUUAUACAUGGUGACCUUAUACAUCAAAGCUUUGAGAAUAAGUCCCCCAGGUCAAGACAUGCCUUAAGCUUGCAUGUGGUAGAUACUGAUGAAUUUAUAUGGGCCAAGGAUAACUGGUUUUUACCAUUCCCCCACCAUAUUCCCCAAACUAUACUGUGGUCAAUAUAAAAGGCAUGGAAGCAAGUUAUCAACACCUUGAUGAGCGUCACAUGGUUUGAUAUAAAUAAAAGGAUAAGAAGAAAAGUAGAACCAGAACCCCUUUAUGUUUCUUGAUUCAAGCACUGUGGCGACAAAAAUCCUGUACAUGUUACUCUCCGUAUCUGUUGUGGUACCUGAUGGAACCAUUUCCAGAAAAAGAUGAUUCUGCUUGUCUUCAUUCCAAGUUCCAUGAUGAUCCAUUUCAUCGACAUGGAGGACUGCUGAUGACUCUUCUAUGAUGAUUAAAUGUUCUUAUGCAAACAAAUUUAAGAAUAAGAGAAACAGAUGUGUAAUAUACUCGUUUGCUUGGCAUGUAUGUUGAGAUGCCCUCGGCACAACAUGUUUUGAAUUAGAAGACUGUGCUAAAGGUAUACACAUAUUUCAAGCUACCUAACCCAUGCAUUUUGUCA